GACGAACGCUGGCGGCGUGCUUAACACAUGCAAGUCGAACAAUGAACCUCGAAAUGAUUUCUUCGGAAAGAUUUUUGAGAGGAUUAGUGGCGAACGGGUGAGUAACGCGUGAGCAACCUGCCUUAGACAAGGGGAUAGCCUCGGGAAACCGUGAUUAAUACCCUAUGAGACUCCACUUACGAGUGUAAGAGAAGUUAAAGCUAUUGCGGUCUAAGAUGGGCUCGCGUCUGAUUAGCUAGUUGGUGAGAUAAAAGCCCACCAAGGCGACGAUCAGUAACCGGCUUGAGAGAGUGAACGGUCACAUUGGAACUGAGACACGGUCCAAACUCCUACGGGAGGCAGCAGUGGGGAAUAUUGCACAAUGGGGGCAACCCUGAUGCAGCGACGCCGCGUGAGCGAUGAAGGAAUUCGUUUCGUAAAGCUCUGUCCUUGGAGAAGAUAAUGACGGUAACCAAGGAGGAAGCACCGGCUAAAUACGUG
rnacentral:rRNA from 1 species